UUCCAGACUCCUACGGGAGGCAGCAGUGGGGAAUAUUGCACAAUGGGGGAAGCCCUGAUGCAGCAACGCCGCGUGAGUGAAGAAGUCAUUCGUGAUGUAAAGCUCUAUCAGCAGGGAAGAAAAUGACGGUACCUGACUAAGAAGCCCCGGCUAACUACGUGCCAGCAGCCGCGGUAAUACGUAGGGAGCGAGCGUUGUCCGGAUUUACUGGGUGUAAAGGGUGCGUAGGCGGCCCUGCAAGUCAGAAGUGAAAUCCAUGGGCUUAACCCGUGAACUGCUUUUGAAACUGCGGGACUUGAGUGGAGUAGAGGUAGGCGGAAUUCCCGGUGUAGCGGUGAAAUGCGUAGAGAUCGGGAGGAACACCAGUGGCGAAGGCGGCCUACUGGGCUUUAACUGACGCUGAAGCACGAAAGCGUGGGUAGCAAACAGGAUUAGAUACCCCAGUAG
rnacentral:rRNA from 1 species